CAGUGGCAGAGUUUAAAGGGUGUGUGACUGUCCUCUGAGUAGCAGCUGAAUCAGCAUCUCUGGAAACAGAAAUACAGUGAAUUUACAAGACAAUACGCUCAGAGAGUUGGAUGAAUUAUAUUGCAAUCACUUCACAAUGCACAUAGGAGUCAAAAUAUUGUCCAUCUCCAGUGUUCCAUUGCUUUUUGUCUUGAAAUGGUUUUGGGGUGAUUUUACUGUUACUGUACAUGUUAAUCCUGCAGUUGUCUUGGUUGGGCAAGCUGUGACAUU